rnacentral:rRNA from 1 species
GACGAACGCUGGCGGCGUGCCUAAUACAUGCAAGUCGAGCGAGACUCUUCGGGGUCUAGCGGCGGACGGGUGAGUAACACGUGGGCAACCUGCCUGUAAGACUGGGAUAACACCGGGAAACCGGUGCUAAUACCGGAUAAUCCUUUUCCUCUCAUGAGGAAAAACUGAAAGUCGGUUUCGGCUGACACUUACAGAUGGGCCCGCGGCGCAUUAGCUAGUUGGUGAGGUAACGGCUCACCAAGGCGACGAUGCGUAGCCGACCUGAGAGGGUGAUCGGCCACACUGGGACUGAGACACGGCCCAGACUCCUACGGGAGGCAGCAGUAGGGAAUCUUCCACAAUGGACGAAAGUCUGAUGGAGCAACGCCGCGUGAGCGAUGAGGGCCUUCGGGUCGUAAAGCUCUGUUGUUAGGGAAGAACAAGUACCGGAGUAACUGCCGGUACCUUGACGGUACCUAACCAGAAAGCCACGGCUAACUACGUGCCAGCAGCCGCAGUAA